AGAAUAGUAUUUAAAUUAAAUAAAGUCUAACCUGCAAUUAGAAAUUGCUCAAGCAUAUUCUA
rnacentral:tRNA from 1 species